AUGUAUGCAUUUGAUCAUCUAUUCUUAUGUCAUCAGCUGAAUUGGAGAUGGGCCUGUUAUGUGCAUGUGUUACGUUGGGCUGAGAAUAAACUUGUGCAGAAUUCGAACUUGGCCCAACGUUUUGUCUUGGCCCAACACUUACUCUUUUGACUUGUUGAGUGAUGCCGUUUUGACCACAGAAUUUUGACACCAAUUUAGUAACAAUUUCACGAUCAGAUUGGCAAUUUGAACUUAGGGUUUACCCCCUUCUUCCACCUCCAUCUCUUUUUUUUUUUUUUUUCUCUGUACUCAAAUUAAUGGAGGAACAGGGAACCUUGUUAUCUUCAACACCUCCCUCAAGUUGGAGGGGAGGGAAUGGAGACCCAACUUUCCGAUUAAGGACUGAUGAGAGACACCGAAAAAUAGUUUAGUGAAUAGAUCAACUAGCUGAGAUGAAGCCGGUACAAAUGACAGAGAAAUUAAUCCGGCAAGGUACUGUUGUCGAAUGAAGUGGAAAUCCAAUUCCACGUGCUUCGUACGUUCCUGGAAAACUGGAUUGCGAGCAAUUUGAAUAGAGGCUUGGCUGUCAGACAACACCGGAAUUUGAAGAGUCAGAGAACAACCAAAAUAGGUCAACAAUCGAUCAAGCCAGGUGAUACAACUUAGCACCAUAAACUUGUCCAAACCUUGCCUCAAGGUCAUUCCAAAGUUCCUCAGCAGAUUUUAAAUAAAGAACACUGUCUGAGAUUUCUAUGGACAGGGAAUUUAGUAACCAAGAGUUCACCAUAUCAUUGCACCUGUUCCAGAGUUUGAAUUCAGUGCUGUUGAGAGAAGGUGAUUUGUUGCUACCACCAAUAAAUCCAAGUUUAUUCUUGGCUGACAGAGCAAUCAAGACAGUUCUCUUCCAACCACUAUAUCCUUUCCCUUCAAACAUGGAGUUCACCAAGGACAUCCUUGGUGAGUCUAAAGGGUGGAGGAAGUAUGGGCUGCUACUGUCUAUGGUAAUAGAUACAUCAGCAACAUUGUUAAUGUGAGCUGUUUCAGAUUCAACCAUUUUGAAGAAACAAGAUGAGCAACAAUAAAAAAAAACAGUGAAAGGAGAAAAUCCAGAAACAAGACUAUUAGAAAUCAGAUCUGCAAAUCUGUAAAUUAGUAAUGCUCUGAUACCAUGUUGGAAUGCAAAAUUAAAGAACACAAGAAUGUAAAAAUUUUCGGAUGCUUUAUUGAUCAAUCUGUUCAUGUAUUUAUACAAAGAAUUGUAGAAAAGAAAAAAUAAUUACUCUAUACACUUGCUAGCUUUCUAUU